GGGCACUGUGCACUGACCUUUCAGGGUCUUUGGCACUAGCUUUUGGCCACGUUCAUACAUUGGAUGUUGUGUAUGAUCGUGGGGUCGUGGGGGGCACUGUGCACUGACCUUGCAGGGUCUUUGGCACUAGCUUUUGGCCACGAUCAUAUGUCGUAUGAAGUGUAUGCCAUGGGGGGGUAGAGUGCACUGACCUUGUCGGAUGGCCCAAACGUGGGUAACUAGCGUGGUUAGAGAAUCUAAGCAUUUCUGAGGGGAUGCUUAGGCGCUUUAAUUGGUCCAUGGUCUUUGGCAC
rnacentral:lncRNA from 1 species